CGGAGGAAAAGAAACUAACAAGGAUUCCCCUAGUAACUGCGAGUGAAGCGGGAUGAGCUCAAAUUUGAAAUCUGGCGGUUCCGCCGUCCGAGUUGUAAUCUGGAGAAGCGUUUUCCGUGCCGGACCGUGUACAAGUCCCUUGGAACAGGGCGUCAUAGAGGGUGAGAAUCCCGUCUUUGACACGGACUCCCGGUGCUCUGCGAUGCGCUCUCGAAGAGUCGAGUUGUUUGGGAAUGCAGCUCAAAAUGGGUGGUAAAUUCCAUCUAAAGCUAAAUAUUGGCGAGAGACCGAUAGCGAACAAGUACCGUGAGGGAAAGAUGAAAAGCACUUUGGAAAGAGAGUAAAACAGUACGUGAAAUUGUUGAAAGGGAAACGCUUGAAGUCAGUCGCGUCUUCUGGGACUCAGCCUUGCUCUGCUUGGUGCAUUUCCCAGUUUGACGGGUCAGCAUCGGCUCUGGGGGGCGGACAAAGGCGCGGGGAAGGUGGCAGCUCCGGCUGCGUUAUAGCCCCGCGUUACGCGUCCCCCGGGACCGAGGAAUCCGGCGCUCGCGCCUGGGAUGCUGGCGUAAUGGCUUUAAACGACCCGUCU
rnacentral:rRNA from 1 species